CUCGGCCCUAGCCGGGCUUGGGUGCGGGGAGAGCCGCUAGCCGCUAGCGCUGGUUUUGGGGCGGCGAAGCUCUGCCGGCGGCGCCUGGCUAGUGAGGGCAACUGGCCGCAGGAAUGGCGAGAAAGGGUAAUAAAGGCCUUGGUUUCCACAGUUUAUGACAAAGAAGAUUGAAAUAGGAUAAUCUCUAAAGGCCCUUCCAGCUCCAAAAUUACGUUAUCUAAGGAGGACAAGCCUGAUGCUGUGGUUCAGAGGGAAAUCUGAGGCCCUCUGCAGGCCUGCUGUGUGUAUGCAGGAGAUUGGAAGAGGCACCAGGACUGGGACCAGGAGGCUGGAACCAGCCAGCCGGCCAACAAAAAAAUGCGACUUGAUAAGCUUCAUCAGACCUCCUCCCAGCCAGAAGAGCCAAGCAUUGUUGGAGCCACCAGUAUCUCUGGCCCAGACUCCAAAAUGUAAACCACGGAGCAUCAGGGACCUAGUCUGUCUUGCUUCCUGUUGGAUCCCCAGUGCCAAGAACGGUGUCUAGCACUUGACCAAUAUUUGUUGAAUAAAUAACUGAACGACUGAAUGCCUACGCCUCACACCCUUGUCCCAGCAGCCUCUUACUCUUGGGACAUUGCUCUCUUUUCUAUCCCCCUCCCCUCCUGCUCUGCUCUUCCCUCUCCUCCUCACAUCUCAAAGCCUUCUGUUUGAUGCCUCAGUCCAAUGAUCAGAUCAAAUGUCACUUCUUUGGAGGAGUUUUCCCUAUCUCCCCAGAAAAAUUACUUUUCCCCUUCUCAGUGCCCUCCAUAGUACUUUAUUUGUAGCUCUGUUACUUCGCUCAACACUGCCUGCCUAUUAAGAGUUACCAGUUACCCAUCCUCUCUGCCCAUCCCUCCAGGGCUGGAAUCUUAUCAGAUUGCCUUUGUAUUUUUAGCACCUGACACAGGGUAGGCCAUCCUCAAGGUUUAUAUCUGAAUUGAAUCCAGUAGGGACCCAAGCAGGAAUGAAUAGGGUCUGUCCUCAAGAGUAAAACUGAUCAACAGGCAGCAGUCUUAACUUGGCAGCACGACAACAUUAAAGCUGAAACUUCAGGAUAUUCUAUAAUAAAAAGGACAGGCUACGUUUUAAAAUGACAGUACAUGGGAAACUUGCUGACAGCUAAAGGUUACAGGCUCUCACACUACCAUGCCACCUGGGAAAACAUUCUCUCUGUCUGUGUGGGCAGUGGGAGUUGCUCCUCCCAGGCCUCACCUCUUCCUCCUUCCUCCCCAACAAGUCAAGUCCCAUGACAUUACAUCACAGAGGAGGCCCUGGUGCCAUCUUCCCGCAGACAGAU